AGCAAAAGUACAUUUGAAAUUAUCCUGGACUGCACUGUAAUUAAAAUGAUGAAAGUUUACAAAUUCCAAUGGGCCAUGUGUUGUUCUAGGAACACAAAAACCAGAGAGGACAAUUCGCAAGGUGAUCAACUAACUGCAAAGAUCACCUAUUAAGGUUAUUGCCCUCACUAGCCGCAAAUUCUGUUGUUCUUUUAAUUGAAAUAUAGUCAGUUAUAAUACAUCAAUUUCUGGUAUGGAUGGUGGGAAGGGAGAG